rnacentral:lncRNA from 1 species
GGCCCCUAGAAGAGAGAAAAAUAAAAAGAAAAUCGACGAAUGAAUAGCAAAACUAGUUGCAAAAAUUCGUCACAAGUGGGCAAAAGAUGAGCUAUGACCAAUUCUCUAAGCAAAAUGAGAUUCCCAAUUCAGUAAGUCCUCAAAACCUCCUCAUAUGACUCCUCAAAACUCUCCAACCACUCCACUAUCCAAAUCCCCACAUUUCCUCCUAAAAUUCCUCCAUCAUAAUCUCCUCAACUGCCAAAUUCAAACCCCACUCAGCUCUACAGUAUUUCGGUCAACCUCUACUACCC